rnacentral:rRNA from 1 species
UUCGUAGGCGGGAUAUUAAGUCAGUGGUGAAAUCCUACGGCUUAACUGUAGAACUGCCAUUGAUACUGAUAUUCUUGAAUUCACCUGAAGUAGGCGGAACAUGACAUGUAGCGGUGAAAUGCUUAGAUAUGUCAUAGAACACCGAUUGCGAAGGCAGCUUACUAAAGUGAUAUUGACGCUAAGGAACGAAAGCGUGGGGAGCGAACAGGAUUAGAUACCCUGGUAGUCC